CAUUAUAUUUUAUGCCAGUACACUCUUAUUUAAUAUCAUUCUACAAAAAUAAAAUAUCUCAUAAAUCCUACGGUUCUUAAGGGGUCUGGAUUUCUAGGCUACAUCAACGAAAAGACAGUAUAAUCUAAGUAGUUUUUUUUUUUAAAUGUUUGAUGACAGCAUCAACCAUCAUCAAAUGGUGUGUUUUGCUCCGUUUCUCAGUCAACUUUGCUUGUACGAGGAGUUUUUAACAUCUUAUAAUCAAGAGAAUCAAACGGUCGAUAAAGGUUUUUUUUUUUUUCUGGAUACAUACGUAUAACACCCAAAGUAGAGAGAGAAGUAGAAGGUUAGAGAGAGAUGAGAGUGCAUGGGGUCGUGGUUAUUUCUGGAACUGAGAGAACAGCUGGUAGGGUCGAGUCUGCAGCUAUGUUUUGUCUUUUUUAACGUUGGCUUUCCCCUCUUUUUACUCAUCUUAAAAACCCCUCUUCACCCAUAUCCUUCUCUUCAUCAUCUCAUGAUCAUCACCUAAUCCCCCCCCCCCCCCUUUCUCUCUCUCUCUCAGUCCCCCUUGAACACAGGCGAGACUCUUGGGGGGUAAAGAGAUAAGAGAAUCAGGGAGACACAUACAUAAUUCAUGAGAAAAAAAAGCCUCUUUCAAGAUAGUUUUAAUUGAGAUGUCCUGAGCGGAGUAACCAAUUUGAGGGGAAUGUUGUCUGGCUCGAGGACACUUGUUUUUAAUCCAUUUCUUGCAUUACAAUUCAUUUAUGGAUCUGAUUAUUGCUGUAAUGGAUUGAGGCUGUACAAGGUCGUCGGACCAGGCUUCAUUCCCCCUAAUGCUUGCUCCUAUAUGGGGCUGCCGACUGCCUAACCAAGUCUAGAUUCUAGAUCACGGAGCUGCAGCAUGGAAAGGUUUGGGUCUUCUGUUUCAAUGAUUAUUUUGGGUCCUUUUUUCUUUUUCUUGUUUCCUCUUUUGGGAAAAUUUGGCUGUUCUAAAUCAUUUGGUAUCUUGUUUCUAGAGCAAUUACCACUGUUAGUUAUGUGCAGAUUGGUGUAAUGAUGAAGAGUUUUGACCAAUUUUUGUUCAUCAUCUGUGUAAAAAGUUUCAUCAUUACUCUUUUUUUGUUUUUUCUUUUUCUUUGAUGCUAUGAUGUUCUUGUCAGUCCAAACACUUAUAUUUCUGAUUUAUCAUUAGGCAGAUCUUUCCCAUGACGGCUUCCUGUUCUCUGAUCUGUCUGUUUCUGCUGCUUUCAGAUCCGGCUUUGAACUUUUGGUAAACAUUCUCUCUUCUUUUACCAUCUCUCUAGGGUUUCAAGACCUAGGCUCUUCCCUCAAAAUCAAUCCUUUUUUUAAACGAAGCUUGACCUUCGUAAGGAACCAAAGAUGAGGGAAAAAUAAAGACUUGCCCUUUCUUUAACAGUUUCAAAGUCCCAUGAAAUAGAGUUCCUUGGCAUGAGGAGUUACCAAGUCAAUUCUAAGGGUUAACUGAAGGAGCUUUGUGCGGUAAAGCACAUGGUCUAAUUAACAAGUAACUAUCAUUUGAAGGAAGGGAGCUUUUACCUAUGUUGGUGCUUCAUCUGUACAUUUUAGGGAAUUAGUGAUCAAAACGAGGUGUAAAGUUUUACUAUUGUUUACAUUUCCCAUCAUACUUUUUCCAUUUUUUGCUCUGGCUUCUUUAUUCAUGGUCCGUGGAAGCUGAGCAACAGAACACAGCAAAGAAACAGUUGAUUAGAAGUUUGGCAGAGAUGAGAUGAGUUUAUCUAGGCCUAUAUCAGGGCCUUAGGUAACACGUAUCCAGUAGCUUGUCACCCAGCAUUCAUCGUCCACUACAUUCAGUAAUAAUCACAUGACUGUUCACAAGCUCAUUCGAAAGAUUAUCCAUGGAGUCCUUCUCUCAAUGCUUUGUGCAGUGAAAGUUAUUUUGUUGUAUUAAAAUCCCGGUUAGCUAGGAAUCUAGGAAACAAAUGUUAGCUUCUUUUUUCUUUUUUUUUUUUAAAUAUUACUUGUAUAUGUGCUUUGUACCUUGAGAGUUUUCCUUUCUAUAGUUUGAAUAUAUCUAUCCUUUUUUUUUCCCUGAA